AAGGUACUCCCUCCGUCUGGAAAUACUUGUCAUUAAACUGGAUAAAAAGAAAUGUAUCUAGAUGUAUUUUAGUUCUAGAUACGUCUAUUUUUAUCCAUUUUGAUGACAAAUAUUUCUGGACGGAGGGAGUACUCC
rfam:Triticum aestivum genome assembly, contig: Triticum_aestivum_CS42_TGACv1_scaffold_288275_4AL